rnacentral:rRNA from 1 species
GCAACUUACCUAUCAGAGGGGGAUAGCCCGGCGAAAGUCGGAUUAAUACCCCAUAAAACAGGGGUCCCGCAUGGGAAUAUUUGUUAAAGAUUCAUCGCUGAUAGAUAGGCAUGCGUUCCAUUAGGCAGUUGGCGGGGUAACGGCCCACCAAACCGACGAUGGAUAGGGGUUCUGAGAGGAAGGUCCCCCACAUUGGUACUGAGAACA